rnacentral:rRNA from 1 species
AUGGUUCGAAAUUGAAAGGCGGCUUCGGCUGUCACUUAUGGAUGGACCCGCGUCGCAUUAGCUAGUUGGUGAGGUAACGGCUCACCAAGGCAACGAUGCGUAGCCGACCUGAGAGGGUGAUCGGCCACACUGGGACUGAGACACGGCCCAGACUCCUACGGGAGGCAGCAGUAGGGAAUCUUCCGCAAUGGACGAAAGUCUGACGGAGCAACGCCGCGUGAGUGAUGAAGGCUUUCGGGUCGUAAAACUCUGUUGUUAGGGAAGAACAAGUGCUAGUUGAAUAAGCUGGCACCUUGACGGUACCUAACCAGAAAGCCACGGCUAACUACGUGCCAGCAGCCGCGGUAAUACGUAGGUGGCAAGCGUUAUCCGGAAUUAUUGGGCGUAAAGCGCGCGCAGGUGGUUUCUUAAGUCUGAUGUGAAAGCCCACGGCUCAACCGUGGAGGGUCAUUGGAAACUGGGAGACUUGAGUGCAGAAGAGGAAAGUGGAAUUCCAUGUGUAGCGGUGAAAUGCGUAGAGAUAUGGAGGAACACCAGUGGCGAAGGCGACUUUCUGGUCUGUAACUGACAC